rnacentral:misc_RNA from 1 species
GUUUUCUUCAGCUUUUUCUUGCAAUGCUUCGGUUGCAACUGAACAAAUCAGUUUCCUACUAGCUUGUUUAGCCCCAAAUGGCAAACGAUAUGGAAAGCGAUAAUUCAAUCCAGAUUUCACCUGUGAAGUAAAUAAAGGCCUCUGUCUAGUGCUACGUUUGACUGAAGUUCCAAUUGAAUUAGCACAACGGUGUGCAGCUCGAACCUCUAAUGAUCAAAAGGCAGAAACACAAAGAUCUUU